UACGGAGGGGGCUAGCGUUGUUCGGAAUUACUGGGCGUAAAGCGCACGUAGGCGGUUUGUCGCGUCUGCUGUGAAAACCCGAGGCUCAACCUCGGGCCUGCAGUGGGUACGGGCAGACUAGAGUGCGGUAGGGGAGAUUGGAAUUCCUGGUGUAGCGGUGGAAUGCGCAGAUAUCAGGAGGAACACCGAUGGCGAAGGCAGAUCUCUGGGCCGUAACUGACGCUGAGGAGCGAAAGCAUGGGGAGCGAACAGG
rnacentral:rRNA from 1 species